GCAUUAAUAGUAUAAUGGCAAUACAGUUACCUUGUAAGUAACAAUUGGGAGUUCGAUUCUCUCUUAAUGUA
rfam:Hanseniaspora opuntiae strain AWRI3578 Hanseniaspora_opuntiae_AWRI3578_scaffold228, whole genome shotgun sequence.